UAACCUAAUAUGGGGGAGAGAGCUAAGC
rnacentral:sRNA from 1 species